GAUGAACGCUGGCGGCGUGCUUAACACAUGCAAGUCGAACGAAGCACUUUAUUUGAUUUCCUUCGGGACUGAUUAUUUUGUGACUGAGUGGCGGACGGGUGAGUAGCGCGUGGGUAACCUGCCUUGUACAGGGGGAUAACAGUUGGAAACGGCUGCUAAUACCGCAUAAGCGCACAGCAUCGCAUGAUGCAGUGUGAAAAACUCCGGUGGUAUAAGAUGGACCCGCGUUGGAUUAGCUAGUUGGUGAGGUAACGGCCCACCAAGGCUACGAUCCAUAGCCGACCUGAGAGGGUGACCGGCCACAUUGGGACUGAGACACGGCCCAAACUCCUACGGGAGGCAGCAGUGGGGAAUAUUGCACAAUGGGCGAAAGCCUGAUGCAGCGACGCCGCGUGAGCGAAGAAGUAUUUCGGUAUGUAAAGCUCUAUCAGCAGGGAAGAUAA
rnacentral:rRNA from 1 species